CAUUGGGAAGUGUGUUGUUUGAUGCAGCUGUUCCCUCGACUUCAACUAGCAGCAACAAUUUGAAUGUGGACUCUGCCCGGACAUCACCUAUCCUCCUUUCGCCCUGCACUCCACCACGACAAGCAGCACCACCAACACCGCAUGAUCCACCAGCAUCGUUCCAAUUGUCACCAGAUAUAGUUUCGAGACCUGGGAGUAAGAAACAAAAGACAAAAGUUCAUACUCAUGAAGACAGUGCAGCCCAGGCAGCUGAAGUGGUCCAGCUUGAGAGGGAGAAGGUGGCCAUCAUGCGGGAACGCUUGCAGAUCGACAGAGAGCGCC